CCAAUAGUUCAAACCACUAGUUUAGCUACAAUCAUGUCCAACAAGCAAGUGCUCUACAAAUCAAAGAUUGCCCGAGAGAUUAUUAGCCUCCAUAUAUUAUUUCGUUCGUCAAAAACUUAUGCCAAACGUCAGUACAGGAAUUACCCAGGUACUGGAACCUCGCUAGCUGAGAGGUAGCAGUAGAAACUCCAGGUACUGAAUAAAUGGCUUUAGAAUUCUCCACUAUGUAUGAUCCUUCUGCAGUGAAUGUCUGCUCAAAUAUGCUUUGAAGUCCUCCAUAUGCUUUGAAUGAACAAUUAGUUUGGCUUUCGUCAAUUUUCAUUGCAGGGUUUGAGCUUGAUAAAGGCAGCUGGAUUGCACCAGAGGUUUCUACAUUUGAUUCUUUUAUAGCGAUGGCAGGUGGGAGAGCAAUUUCGGGUGAGCUUUCCUGUUCGGUUUCAACAUUGGGUAUCUGGAAAGGUCCACUUUUCAGCACU
rnacentral:lncRNA from 1 species